rnacentral:rRNA from 2 species
CGAACGCUGGCGGCGUGCCUAAUACAUGCAAGUUGAGCGAUGAAGAUUGGUGCUUGCACCAAUUUGAAGAGCAGCGAACGGGUGAGUAACGCGUGGGGAAUCUGCCUUUGAGCGGGGGACAACAUUUGGAAACGAAUGCUAAUACCGCAUAACAACUUUAAACAUAAGUUUUAAGUUUGAAAGAUGCAAUUGCAUCACUCAAAGAUGAUCCCGCGUUGUAUUAGCUAGUUGGUGAGGUAAAGGCUCACCAAGGCGAUGRUACAUAGCCGACCUGAGAGGGUGAUCGGCCACAUUGGGACUGAGACACGGCCCAAACUCCUACGGGAGGCAGCAGUAGGGAAUCUUCGGCAAUGGACGAAAGUCUGACCGAGCAACGCCGCGUGAGUGAAGAAGGUUUUCGGAUCGUAAAACUCUGUUGGUAGAGAAGAACGUUGGUGAGAGUGGAAAGCUCAUCAAGUGACGGUAACUACCCAGAAAGGGACGGCUAACUACGUGCCAGCAGCCGCGGUAAUACGKUAGGUCCCGAGCGUUGUCCGGAUUUAUUGGGCGUAAAGCGAGCGCAGGUGGUUUAUUAAGUCUGGUGUAAAAGGCAGUGGCUCAWCCAUUGUAUGCAUUGGAAACUGGUAGACUUGAGUGCAGGAGAGGAGAGUGGAAUUCYCAUGUGUAGCGGYGAAAUGCGUAGAUAUAUGGAGGAACACCGGUGGCGAAAGCGGCUCUCUGGCCUGUAACUGACACUGAGGCUCKAAAGCGUGGGGAGCAAACAGGAUUAGAUAUCCCUGGUAGUCCACGCCGUAAACGAUGAGUGCUAGAUGUAGGGAGCUAUAAGUUCUCUGUAUCGCAGCUAACGCAAUAAGCACUCCGCCUGGGGAGUACGACCGCAAGGUUGAAACUCAAAGGAAUUGACGGGGGCCCGCACAAGCGGUGGAGCAUGUGGUUUAAUUCGAAGCAACGCGAAGAACCUUACCAGGUCUUGACAUACUCGUGCUAUUCCUAGAGAUAGGAAGUUCCUUCGGGACACGGG